rnacentral:misc_RNA from 1 species
CCCGGGAUCUUGUUCCUCGAAAUAUCAAGCGUUUCAAGCUUCCAUAGUCCAAAAAUGGACUCCGGAAUCUCUCCCCUCAAAUGGCUAUCAGCCAGAAACAAAUAAGUCAAGUUCUUCAAAUUUCCAAUAUUCUCAGGGAUCUCACCCUCAUCAUAUUCAUUUUGCCCCAUAGAAAGCGCAAUCAACCCAGUUAAAUUUCCUACCCAUGUCGGAAAUCUGCCAGAGAAGUAGUUCAACGACAAAUCAAGAAUCUCCAAGUUUCUCAACGAAGAAAGAUCAGGAAAGACUCCCACCAUUUCAUUUCCGGUUAGAUUC